AUUGAACGCUGGCGGCAUGCCUUACACAUGCAAGUCGAACGGCAGCACGGGAGCAAUCCUGGUGGCGAGUGGCGAACGGGUGAGUAAUGUAUCGGAACGUAUCCUGUAAUGGGGGAUAACCAGUCGAAAGAUUGGGUAAUACCGCAUACGCACGAGAGUGGAAAGUAGGGGAUCGCAAGACCUUACGUUAUAGGAGCGGCCGAUAUCUGAUUAGCUAGUUGGUGGGGUAAAGGCCUACCAAGGCGACGAUCGGUAGCUGGUCUGGGAGGAUGAUCAGCCACACUGGGACUGAGACACGGCCCAGACUCCUACGGGAGGCAGCAGUGGGGAAUUUUGGACAAUGGGCGAAAGCCUGAUCCAGCCAUGCCGCGUG
rnacentral:rRNA from 1 species